rnacentral:rRNA from 1 species
UACGAAGGGGGCUAGCGUUGCUCGGAAUUACUGGGCGUAAAGCGCACGUAGGCGGCUUUCUAAGUCGGAGGUGAAAUCCUGGAGCUCAACUCCAGAACUGCCUUCGAUACUGGAGAGCUUGAGUCCGGGAGAGGUGAGUGGAACUGCGAGUGUAGAGGUGAAAUUCGUAGAUAUUCGCAAGAACACCAGUGGCGAAGGCGGCUCACUGGCCCGGUUCUGACACUGAGGAGCGAAAGCGUGGGGAGCGAUCCGG